rnacentral:rRNA from 1 species
UACAGAGGGUGCGAGCGUUAAUCGGAAUUACUGGGCGUAAAGCGUGCGUAGACGGUUAUUUAAGUCGGAUGUGAAAACUCCAGGCUCAACCUGGAGACGCCACUCGAGACUGCUAUGGCUAGAGUCCGGUAGGGGACCACGGAAUUCCUGGUGUAGCGGUGAAAUGCGCAGAUAUCAGGAGGAACACCGGUGGCGAAGGCGGUGGUCUGGGCCGGCACUGACGCUGAGGCGCGAAAGCGUGGGGAGCAAACAGG